UGUGUGUAUAUGUGUGUGUGUAUGUGUAUGUAUGUAUAUGUGUAUAUACACACACAUACACACACACACACACACACACACACACACUCAUAU
rnacentral:miRNA from 1 species